rnacentral:rRNA from 1 species
UACAGAGGUCUCAAGCGUUGUUCGGAUUCAUUGGGCGUAAAGGGUGUGUAGGUGGCGCGCUAAGUCGGGUGUGAAAUUUCGGAGCUUAACUCCGAAACUGCAUUCGAUACUGGCGUGCUUGAGGACUGGAGAGGAGACUGGAAUUCAUGGUGUAGCAGUGAAAUGCGUAGAGAUCAUGAGGAAGACCAGUGGCGAAGGCGGGUCUCUGGACAGUUUCCUGACACUGAGACACGAAGGCCAGGGGAGCAAACGGG